CAGAUAUCAAAGGAGAAGAGGGGAAGAGAGAGCAGAAAAAAGCAAUCACCUGAGAAGUUGGAUACGGUGCUAUAGGGCACCACGGGUACACCUCUACUGUGAAGGAAAGCAAAUUGCAGAGAGGCAACUGAACAUCUUGCUGUCUUCAGGCUCAUAUUCAGUCUUCAUUUGAUGAACCAGAGAGCAAAAAAGGAAGAUCUGCUUCCUCUCUCCAAAGAAGAUGUGAAAUUGCUUCUUCAGUGCUGUCUUGUCGAGUUGAAAGAACCUGGUUCUUCUCACUAAAGUAAGCUAUCUCAUGCAUGAAAAUCAUCAUAAGGAACAGGAGCCUUUUCUUCAAGACACCAAAACUGAUGGUAUUUCAAUCCUAUCAUUUUUAAUUCUGACCUUACCUCUGCCA